rnacentral:rRNA from 1 species
UACGUAGGGUGCGAGCGUUGUCCGGAAUCAUUGGGCGUAAAGCGCGUGUAGGCGGCCCGGUAAGUCCGCUGUGAAAGUCCAGGGCUCAACCCUGGGAUGCCGGUGGAUACUGUCGGGCUCGAGUCCGGAAGAGGCGAGUGGAAUUCCUGGUGUAGCGAUGAAAUGCGCAGAUAUCAGGAAGAACACCAAUGGCGAAAGCAGCUCUCUGGGACGGUACUGACGCUGAGACGCGAAAGCGUGGGGAGCGAACAGG